UCCCUAGUGAUGAACACUAACUACUGGCCUUUAAUAGGGGGACCAUUUUCCUGCAAACCCAUGGCGGUCACCGAGCUUUGCUCAACGGUUUUCCAGGCGAAGUUAAGGCAAACAAACCCGGCAGGGGAGCGAGCCGCGGCCCCCAACCCGACUCCCGGGCCGCGAACCGCGGGGCCUGGCAGGAAGCGAAGGGCCUAGGAGCGGCCCGCUGCACCUGCUCCUCGCGCCGCCGACCGCCCAGGGGCGGACCCGGGCCGAAGAGCGGGUGUUCCCCAUCCAGGCCCGGUUCGGCUCCGGGCCCCCCGGCCGCCUCCCCGCCCCCCACCUCGCCCCGGCCCCUGGAGGAAAAGACAAUACAUUUUAACGCCAUUGGAGCUACUGCUGUGCUGCGGAGGCUGCUUCUCCGGCUCCGGGGGGAGCGAUUCUCGCCGCGGUUCACCCUGAGACUCUGCGGGGAGCUGAUGAGGGCUGUCGUCGCCAGCGGCCCCGACCACCUCGGGCUUGUCAGCGUCCGCCAUCGCGCCGCCGCUGGCUCCGCCUCGGCCGCCUGCGCUGAGGGGCUCCGAACGCGACAAUGGCGGCGGCCGGGGAAGCGGUAACGGAUCCCGAUUUGAAAAGGCCCCGAGCGCUCAGUUGCCCGGAUCUCGCGAGAUCCGGUCGAGGCUGGGCGACUGGGAGAUAGUGUGAGCUGGGUGCGGGGGGUGGGAGUGCGGUGGGGGAGGGGAGGAUGAGAGAGGAGGUUGGAACCCGGGUCUGGGACGCCUUCGCUGCCUCGACCCUGCACUAGCAGGAAGGGAUUGACCAGUCCCGAAGCCCCUAAGGAAGUAAGUUCUGACCACCAUCCCCCUUAUCACCUGGCACCCAAUGGGGUCUUCGCUUACAAAACCGAUUUAGAAGUCUCUGAACCUUGACACCCAGAUUAUUCAAUUCAUUCCAGUAGGGGAAGUUUAAUUAGAAAAGCACACACCUUACCAUAUCUAAAGACAUCUGCAUAUCUUCAGACCCCUUUGGAAGUCCUUUGAAUGAUGCAAAUAAAUCACUUAUCAUUUCAAUACCCAGGCACGCUGUGGAUAUUCAAUAUGUAAUUAUUGGUGACUGAUUGCAAUUCACCAAAUUGAAUGGCUUUCAAUUUCUUUGAGGAUUGGUUGUUCUUGUGAGAAAAAAAAAA
rnacentral:lncRNA from 1 species